UAUGCAAACCGUCAGUUCAAAUCCAGUCCAAUCCAGGUAGCCCUUUAACGUCCCGGCCUCUUAAACCAGGCACACCUGUCCGCUAGGCUCCACCCCUGCAAUGCAAACAGGAGGACAAAAGACAGACAGCAGGCAGGACCCUAACAACAUCCAUUCAUACACGCUCCAGUUUAAGCAACAGCCUUCUGUUUUGUUCUUUCUUCCAGACAUCACAUAUGGCGGUAAGGUAAACUUAAAACUAUGUGGAGCCGGGGGACCUAAUUGAGAUAAACAGAAAGACAUACAGUACAAGCACUGGGCAGUGUACAUUGGAAAUGGAAACAUUGUUCAUCUCACAGAAGAUGAUUCUUCCAAAAAGAUUGCUGACAUUGCUGUUUUAUCUGCCUCUACCUUUGCUGUUGUGAAGAAACACAAACUCAAGGAUGUAGCAGCUGGUGACGUAUGGAAAGUGAACAACAGCCUGGAUAAAAAAUGGAAGGCAGCACCCUCAGAUGCCAUCUUGAAAAAUGCAGAGCAAAGAGUUGGCGAGAAGAGACCAUAUGAUCUUCUCAAAUACAACUGUGAGCAUUUUGUUACCGAACUACGCUAAGGCAAACCAAAAUCCAGGCAGGUUCAGACAGCAGCAUUGGUAGCAGCAGGAAGCUCAGGUGUAGUUCUUGCAGGUGUGCUGAGUGGAAUUGCUGUGGCACUUGCUCGUGCUUUCUCUCCACACACCUCCUAAUCAAAGAUGACAAGUACAGUAACGCCCUGCAUGUAGUCUCACAAGCUACACCUUUCAUUGCACUCGCGCCAUGUGUUAUUAUUGAAUGUCCUGUUUGAAAUCAUACAUUUGUUAGGUGCAUAUUAGAAAAUAUACUGUAUUUUUAACAUGGGUUAACAUGGGUUAAUGCAUACAUGCAUAAGUUGAUAAAACGAAAAGCACUAGAAGCCUGCACGUAAACACAGGAGUGAUACAGCACCCUUACAUUUAUUGGCACCCCUGGUACAGAUGGGGUUUUUUAUGAUGAUUUUUUAAUGACGUUUUUCACAGUGACAACUAUAAGGUAAAGCUCCAACACUGAAGGGUUGAGGCUAAACUGUUUUGCUCUGCUCAGCUUUCUUGGAGAUAUUGUUUAGCUGUUUGUUGUCGGUGUGCUUUCUUUCUUUUCUGUUCUAAUAUCCCUGUGUCAGUUGGGGGAGUCCAGGAUUUGCAGUCGCUUAAUUUGAUUACGUCAACUUUUUACAACAAGGUUCAAGGUUCAAGUUCAAGAUUUAUUGUCAUGUUGUGAUAAAAGGAAUAGUAAGUAGUUGAAGUGUUGUGUGUUAGUAAAUAAAAAUGUAUAUUGUG